AUGCGAACUAUUUAGAUGAUAUAUUUUAAAUAUGGGAAAAGCAGGUGAAAAUGUGAUAUGUAUUUUUUCACCUGUUCUUCCUAUAUUUAAAAAUGUCAUGAAGCAUCUACAGCUUUA
rnacentral:precursor_RNA from 15 species